rnacentral:rRNA from 1 species
UACGGGAGGGCAGCAGUGGGGAAUAUUGCACAAUGGGCGCAAGCCUGAUGCAGCCAUGCCGCGUGUAUGAAGAAGGCCUUCGGGUUGUAAAGUACUUUCAGUCGUGAGGAAGGUGUUAAGGUUAAUAACCUUAGCAAUUGACGUUAGCGACAGAAGAAGCACCGGCUAACUCCGUGCCAGCAGCCGCGGUAAUACGGAGGGUGCGAGCGUUAAUCGGAAUUACUGGGCGUAAAGGGCACGCAGGCGGUUAAUUAAGUUGGAUGUGAAAUCCCCGGGCUUAACCUGGGAAUGGCAUUCAAGACUGGUUAGCUAGAGUCUUGUAGAGGGGGUAGAAUUCCAUGUGUAGCGGUGAAAUGCGUAGAGAUGUGGAGGAAUACCGGUGGCGAAGGCGGCCCCUGGGACAAAGACUGACGCUCAUGUGCGAAAGCGUGGGGAGCAAACAGGGAUUAGAUACC